rnacentral:misc_RNA from 1 species
AAUUUUUACCCUUUUUUCCUAAAAAAAAUUUGUUCCUAUUCAAGAUUUGAUUUCAGAAGAAGCAAAUUCUGGUUAAGGCCCCAAAAGAGUCUUUCCUAAUUUAUAUGCUUCCAUUGAAUCUCCGAAAAUUCCUAAUUUCUUCGAGGUUCCUGCAUCGAUUAAUGGCCACCAACUGUGGAAAGAAGUUUAUCCGAAUUGAUAUCAGUUCGGAUACUGUGUGCCCCUGGUGCUUUGUGGGGAAAAAGAACCUUCAUAAAGCUAUAGCGUUAACCAGUGAUCAGUAUGAUUUUGAGAUUAAGUGGCAUCCGUUUCUUCUCAACCCUUCUGCACCUAAAGAAGGGAUUAACAAGAAAGAUUACUACAGAAAUAAGUUUGGAUCUCGCUCUGAACAAAUGAUGUCAAGAAUGUCGGAGGUUUUUAAGGGCCUUGGGAUGGAAUACAACAUGUCAGGACUUACGGGAAGUAGUCUGGACAGCCACAGGCUACUAUAUUUCGCAGGACAACAGGGGCUUGACAAGCAAAAUAAUCUUGCUGAGGAGCUUUUUCUCGGCUAUUUCACACAGGGAAGGUAUAUAGGUGACAGAGAAUUUCUUAUUGAAGCUGCAAGAAAAGUUGGUGUGGAAGGAGCAGCUGACUUCCUUGAAGAUCCCAACAAUGGGCUAAAGGAGGUGAAUGAAGAGCUUCAGCAACACUCAUCAAAUAUAUCAGGCGUCCCACAUUUUGUGCUAAAUGGCAAGUACCAGUUGAGCGGUGGCCAACCUCCAGAGAGUUUCAUACGAGCUUUUCAAGCUGCUUCAAAUGUCACAGCAUAGUUCAUCUCCAACUUCAUCUAAGAGUCUUUCUACCUCUUGUGAAGUUGUAUGCCCACUGGAUAGAUACCGGUGACUCUUCUUAAAGUGAAAUAUUCGAUCAGUAUUAUAUAUAUGUGCUCGUGGCGACUUAAUUGUACUGCAGUAAUUACUUCUGUUUUAAUUUCCAUUGAAGGUUGAGAGAUUUAUG